AUUCCAAGACGAAUUAAGAAAAACUGUGCCAGUAAAGAAGACAACUAGUCCGAAAUGGCAGAAAGAGUUUACAUUUAUGUUGGAACAGCGACCAACGGACCAAAAACUGCAUUUGGAAGUCAUUAGUUUUCCUUGGAAGGGAAUAAUAUAUCGAAAGGAAGAAUCAAUGGGAUAUAUUGAUAUAAAGGCUAUUGAUGUUGUGAAGCAAAGACGGAUCAGCAAAACAUACCGUCUUCUGAAUGUAAGACAUGGUUGGCUUAUGGUGGAGUUGCAAUGGAGAUCGUCUAAAUAGAUUACCACCGGUAUUGACAGUCAUUGAUAGCAGCCACGUUUAUCAUCGUAUUUCUUGACUAAAUGAUCACCAUGUCAAGUUAUUUUAUCAAACUGACAAAGUAUUGGGAUCAUGUCUUAGAUUUUUUUGUUCAUGAUCAAUUCACAAUUUUCAUUUUCCUAAUUUAA